GGAAAAGGUCCGGCGGGUUGACUUUACAAACAAAAUGCAAACAAACAAUACGGGCGAUAAAAAUGAAUAAUAAUUUCAGAAACUAAAAUACGGUGGGUGUGGGUUCGAAUCCCACCCUCUCCGCCA
rnacentral:tRNA from 1 species